rnacentral:rRNA from 1 species
UACAGAGGUCCCAAGCGUUGUUCGGAUUCACUGGGCGUAAAGGGUGCGUAGGCGGUCGGGUAAGUCUGAUGUGAAAUCUCACAGCUUAACUGUGAAACUGCAUUGGAUACUAUCCGGCUCGAGGAAUGGAGGGGAGACUGGAAUACUUGGUGUAGCAGUGAAAUGCGUAGAUAUCAAGUGGAACACCAGUGGCGAAGGCGAGUCUCUAGACAUUUCCUGACGCUGAGGCACGAAAGCCAGGGGAGCAAACGGG